rnacentral:lncRNA from 1 species
UUAAAGAGUAGAGAGAUUGGGAGCAUUAUUAAACCAUGUGAAAGUGGCUUGUGAACCGUCAUCACUUGUUUUUGUCAAUUAAGUCCUUUUAUCACAUGAAAGGAUACAAAAAAAAGAUUCAAGAAAUCCAUACAUUGUCAUGAGAGCAUAAAAAGGCCUUCUAAUGUUUUAGAUGUGGCAAUGGUUUUAUCCCUAUUGCUCUAAGAGACAAUAUGACCCUCGGACAUAGAAGCACAUGCAAUAUUUGGUUGUACUUCUCAC